rnacentral:rRNA from 1 species
AUACGUAUGUCGCAAGCGUUAUCCGGAUUUAUUGGGCGUAAAGCGCGUCUAGGCGGCUUAGUAAGUCUGAUGUGAAAAUGCGGGGCUCAACCCCGUAUUGCGUUGGAAACUGCUAAACUAGAGUACUGGAGAGGUAGGCGGAACUACAAGUGUAGAGGUGAAAUUCGUAGAUAUUUGUAGGAAUGCCGAUGGGGAAGCCAGCCCACUGGACAGAUACUGACGCUAAAGCGCGAAAGCGUGGGUAGCAAACAGGAUUAGAUACCCUGGUAGUCCACGCCGUAAACGAUGAUUACUAGGUGUUGGGGGUCGAACCUCAGCGCCCAAGCUAACGCGAUAAGUAAUCCGCCUGGGGAGUACGUACGCAAGUAUGAAACUCAAAUGAAUUGACGGGG